ensembl:lincRNA
UGAAGGUCACUCCGGAUUGAAGCUGGAUCCCAACCCAGCAGGUGACAGCUUAGCAACUAAGUUCCAUGUUGGGUGUGAAGGCUGUCCGGGAUUAGGUGUAUUGUUAGCAUUGCAGGCAAUUGUUUAGCAUUAUGGCAGGUCUCCACUCUCACUUUGGAGCUUCUGAGGAAUCAGGAAUUGGGGUAUAGAACUGGGCAGCCACUGGAGGAGUUGGGGGAAGACUGUGGCUAAGGUGAAUAUGGAGGCUGGGCUUCAGACAGCAAGAUUAUUUUAGAUCCCAUGUGCUGGAAGGGCAAAGUCUCUAAUAAUCUUCUGGGCUUGUAGUCUAGACCCAGUGACUACAUCAGGCUAAGUGUGCUAUCUAAACAUCUAAUUCCUCUAGCUGGAUGGGGCUAGGAAGGGCAAGACCAACAUCCUCUGGCUUUCUAGUCUCACUGAACUUCUCUCUCCACAGCCUCCUGCUUGGUCCUUUCCCCAUGUGGGAAUUGAGAAAAGGGUCUCCUCUUCUAGUUCAUCCCACAGGGACUCAGUGGGGUGUGAGGUCCUGGAUGCCUUUAUCCCCUGGUCACACUGCACAUGAAAAAGAAAAACAUCCAUUCAUGAGAGUUCAGGGAUACGUGAAAAUGAAGCAAAUGAGGAAAGACCCAUUCACAUUCCUCCAAAAGAUCUGCGGCUCACUGGAAUCAUGUUACUGGCUCCUGGUAGUCCCUGACUUUACCUGUUUGUUCCAGGAACUUGCUUUAUGGCCAUUUGUUCUGAUGAUCAGUUUGGACAAUCAACCUUUAUUCCUCCACCUCAGACAAUAUUCAACAUCCUGUAAUCAUCAUAGCGACAAACUGUUAAAACAACAACAGCAGGCUGGGCGCAACGGCUCUCACCUGUAA